GUUUAAUUCGAUGCAACGCGAAGAACCUUACCUACUCUUGACAUCCACAGAAUUCGGCAGAGAUGCCUUAGUGCCUUCGGGAACUGUGAGACAGGUGCUGCAUGGCUGUCGUCAGCUCGUGUUGUGAAAUGUUGGGUUAAGUCCCGCAACGAGCGCAACCCUUAUCCUUUGUUGCCAGCGGUUCGGCCGGGAACUCAAAGGAGACUGCCAGUGAUAAACUGGAGGAAGGUGGGGAUGACGUCAAGUCAUCAUGGCCCUUACGAGUAGGGCUACACACGUGCUACAAUGGCGCAUACAAAGAGAAGCGACCUCGCGAGAGCAAGCGGACCUCAUAAAGUGCGUCGUAGUCCGGAUCGGAGUCUGCAACUCGACUGCGUGAAGUCGGAAUCGCUAGUAAUCGCGAAUCAGAAUGUCGCGGUGAAUACGUUCCCGGGCCUUGUACACACCGCC
rnacentral:rRNA from 1 species